GACUGACGCUCAGGUGCGAAAGCGUGGGGAGCAAACAGGAUUAGAUACCUGGUAGUCCACGCUGUAAACGAUGUCGAUUUGGAGGUUGUUCCCUUGAGGAGUGGCUUCCGGAGCUAACGCGUUAAAUCGACCGCCUGGGGAGUACGGCCGCAAGGUUAAAACUCAAAUGAAUUGACGGGGGCCCGCACAAGCGGUGGAGCAUGUGGUUUAAUUCGAUGCAACGCGAAGAACCUUACCUACUCUUGACAUCCAGAGAAUUUAGCAGAGAUGCUUUAGUGCCUUCGGGAACUCUGAGACAGGUGCUGCAUGGCUGUCGUCAGCUCGUGUUGUGAAAUGUUGGGUUAAGUCCCGCAACGAGCGCAACCCUUAUCCUUUGUUGCCAGCACAUUAUGGUGGGAGCUCAAAGGAGACUGCCGGUGAUAAACCGGAGGAAGGUGGGGAUGACGUCAAGUCAUCAUGGCCCUUACGAGUAGGGCUACACACGUGCUACAAUGGCGUAUACAAAGAGAAGCGACCUCGCGAGAGCAAGCGGAACUCAUAAAGUACGUCGUAGUCCGGAUUGGAGUCUGCAACUCGACUCCAUGAAGUCGGAAUCGCUAGUGAUCGUAGAUCAGAAUGCUACGGUGAAUACGUUCCCGGGCCUUGUACACACCGCCCGUCACACCAUGGGAGUGGGUUGCAAAAGAAGUAGGUAGCUUAACCUUCGGGAGGGCGCUUACCACUUUGUGAUUCAUGACUGGGGUGAAGUCGUAACAAGGUAACCA
rnacentral:rRNA from 1 species